GGUUAUACGAAAGACCCAAGUUGAUAAUCACCGGCGUAAAGAGUGGUUAAGAUAAACCCCCAAACUAAAGCCGAACAUCUUCAAAGCUGUUAUACGCACACGAAGAAAAGAAACCCAACCACGAAAGUGGCUUUAUAAUAUCUGACCCCACGAAAGCUAUGUCACAAACUGGGAUUAGAUACCC
rnacentral:rRNA from 1 species